rnacentral:rRNA from 1 species
AGAGUUUGAUCCUGGCUCAGGAUGAACGCUGGCGGUAUGCCUAACACAUGCAAGUCGUACGAGAGUUUUUAACUCUAGUGGCGGACGGGUGAGUAACACGUAAGAAUUUACCUUCAGGAGGGGGAUAACAAUUGGAAACAAAUGCUAAUACCCCAUAUGCUUUCGAGUGAAAUGGAUUUAUAUUUAUCCGCCUAAAGAGAAGCUUGCGUCUGAUUAGCUUGUUGGUAAGGUAAAAGCUUACCAAGGCGACGAUCAGUAUCUGGUUUGAGAGGACGAUCAGACACACUGGAACUGAGACACGGUCCAGACUCCUACGGGAGGCAGCAGUGGGGAAUUUUCCGCAAUGGGCGAAAGCCUGACGGAGCAAUACCGCGUGAGGGAAGACUGCCUAUGGG